rnacentral:ncRNA from 1 species
UUCAUGGAGAGUUUGAUCCUGGCUCAGGACGAACGCUGGCGGCGUGCUUAACACAUGCAAGUCGAACGAUGAAGCCCUUCGGGGUGGA